rnacentral:lncRNA from 1 species
AUUUUAGUAGAAAUAUAAAUCUACUUGACUAUUCUACAAAACAUUCUAUUUUGACGAGGUGGAUGUAGAAAUACUAUAUACAACUUGUAAAAUCUAACCUAACCCAUUCUUCCCUUUGUAUAAAACAGGUAUCAAAAACGUCUGCUCACCCCUGCAAAAUAGGAGAUCGGAUCCUCUCGAUCAGCCUUGAGAAAUUAAAAGCUAAAGAAAUACAAAAAUUGCAAGUUCGGCAACACAUUUGAGCAUUACUGUAUUUGUAUAUGUAUGGUUUAGUGAAACUGAACUUCUGCCUCUAUCCACUUUUUCAAUU